rnacentral:rRNA from 1 species
UAGAGUUUGAUCCUGGCUCAGGAUGAACGCUGGCGGCGUGCCUAAUACAUGCAAGUCGAACGCACAGCGAAAGGUGCUUGCACCUUUCAAGUGAGUGGCGAACGGGUGAGUAACACGUGGAUAACCUACCUCAAGGUUGGGGAUAACAUUUGGAAACAGAUGCUAAUACCGAAUAAAACUUCGUAUCGCAUGAUACAAGGUUAAAAGGCGCUACGGCGUCACCUAGAGAUGGAUCCGCGGUGCAUUAGUUAGUUGGUGGGGUAAAGGCCUACCAAGACAAUGAUGCAUAGCCGAGUUGAGAGACUGAUCGGCCACAUUGGGACUGAGACACGGCCCAAACUCCUACGGGAGGCUGCAGUAGGGAAUCUUCCACAAUGGGCGAAAGCCUGAUGGAGCAACGCCGCGUGUGUGAUGAAGGCUUUCGGGUCGUAAAGCACUGUUGUAUGGGAAGAACAGCUAGAGUAGGGAAUGACUUUAGUUUGACGGUACCAUACCAGAAAGGGACGGCUAAAUACGUGCCAGCAGCCGCGGUAAUACGUAUGUCCCGAGCGUUAUCCGGAUUUAUUGGGCGUAAAGCGAGCGCAGACGGUUGAUUAAGUCUGAUGUGAAAGCCCGGAGCUCAACUCCGGAAAGGCAUUGGAAACUGGUCAACUUGAGUGCAGUAGAGGUAAGUGGAACUCCAUGUGUAGCGGUGGAAUGCGUAGAUAUAUGGAAGAACACCAGCGGCGAAGGCGGCUUACUGGACUGUAACUGACGUUGAGGCUCGAAAGUGUGGGUAGCAAACAGGAUUAGAUACCCUGGUAGUCCACACCGUAAACGAUGAACACUAGGUGUUAGGAGGUUUCCGCCUCUUAGUGCCGAAGCUAACGCAUUAAGUGUUCCGCCUGGGGGAGUACGACCGCAAGGUUGAAACUCAAAGGAAU